AUACGAAGGGGGCUAGCGUUGUUCGGAAUCACUGGGCGUAAAGCGCGCGUAGGUGGAUCAAUUAGUUGAGGGUGAAAUCCCGGGGCUCAACCUCGGAACUGCCUUCAAUACUGUUGAUCUUGAGACCGAGAGAGGUGAGUGGAAUUCCUAGUGUAGAGGUGAAAUUCGUAGAUAUUAGGAAGAACACCAGUGGCGAAGGCGGCUCACUGGCUCGGUACUGACGCUGAGGUGCGAAAGCGAGGGGAGCAAACAGGAUUAGAUACCCUAGUAGUCC
rnacentral:rRNA from 1 species